UCCAGACUCCUACGGGAGGCAGCAGUGGGGAAUAUUGCACAAUGGGGGAAACCCUGAUGCAGCGACGCCGCGUGGGUGAAGGAGCGUUUCGGCGCGUAAAGCCCUGUCAGCGGGGAAGAAGAAAGACGGUACCCGACCAAGAAGCCCCGGCUAACUACGUGCCAGCAGCCGCGGUAAUACGUAGGGGGCGAGCGUUAUCCGGAAUUACUGGGUGUAAAGGGAGCGUAGACGGCCAUGCAAGUCUGAUGUGAAAACCCGGGGCUCAACCCCGGGACUGCAUUGGAAACUGUGCGACUGGAGUGUCGGAGAGGCAAGUGGAAUUCCUAGUGUAGCGGUGAAAUGCGUAGAUAUUAGGAGGAACACCAGUGGCGAAGGCGGCUUGCUGGACGACGACUGACGUUGAGGCUCGAAAGCGUGGGGAGCAAACAGGAUUAGAUACCCGUGUAC
rnacentral:rRNA from 1 species